GACGAACGCUGGCGGCGUGCCUAACACAUGCAAGUCAACUUGACUGAAGGAGCAAUCUGACAGUAGAGUGGCGCAAGGGUGCGUAACGCGUAAGUAACUUGCCCCAAGGUAAGGAAUAACGUCGAGAAAUCGGCGCUAAUACCUCAUAAUGCAGCGGAUCCGCAUGGAUAUGUUGUUAAAGGUUUACCGCCUUGGGAUAGGCUUGCGUCUGAUUAGCUAGUUGGUGUGGUAACGGCACACCAAGGCUACGAUCAGUAACUGGUCUGAGAGGAUGAUCAGUCACACUGGAACUGAGACACGGUCCAGACUCCUACGGGAGGCAGCAGUGAGGAAUAUU
rnacentral:rRNA from 1 species